UGGGAGGGUGAGCUAAACCUUCAGAGAGGCAGACAUGCCUGGGAAACCAGAAGAGACUGCACUCUGCACACAUCUCUGACUCCAGAGGAAAACAUGAAACACCAUCUGGAACCCUGGUGCACAGAGGCUCCCGGAAAGGGCAACAAAGAUCUUCCUGGUUGCUGCCGCCGCAGAGAGCUCGUAAGCAACACCCCACGAGCAAACUUGAGCCUCGGGACCACAGGUAAGACCAACUUCUCUUCUGCAAGUGACCUGCCUGGUGAACUCCAGACACAGGCCCACAGGAACAGCUGAAGACCUGUAGAUAGGAAAAACUACACGCCUGAAAGCAGAACACUCUGUCCUCAUAACUGGCUGAAAGAAAACAGGAAAA
rnacentral:lncRNA from 1 species